rnacentral:tRNA from 1 species
AUUUAAAUAGUUUAAUAAAAAUAUUGAUUUGUGAAAUCAAAGAUGUUAUUUUAACUUUAAAUA